rnacentral:piRNA from 1 species
UACAGGAGAAGUUAGUUGCCAAAUUAAUCCA